CGCGUCUCUCGUCAAUUUCAGUCACUUACCCAGUUUUACAUGGAGCCAGAUAACAGCGAAGUGAAGUCCAAGAUGGAAGAUUAUGAAGUCAUAGAGCAGAUUGGGAGAGGAGCUUUUGGUUCUGCUUUUCUUGUUCUUCAUAAAACUGAGAAUAAAAAGUAUGUGUUGAAGAAGAUUCGCCUGGCCAAGCAGACUGAGAAGUUCAAGCAAACAGCUCACCAGGAGAUGAACUUGAUUGCAAACCUGAAAAACCCAUAUAUUGUGGAGUAUAAAGAUUCUUGGGUGGAAAAGGGAAGUUGUGUGUGCAUAGUGACAGCCUACUGUGAAGGUGGAGACAUGGCUGAGAUUAU
rnacentral:misc_RNA from 1 species